CCUACGGGAGGCAGCAGUGGGGGAUAUUGCACAAUGGGGGGAACCCUGAUGCAGCGACGUCGCGUGGGUGAAGAAGCGCCUCGGCGCGUAAAGCCCUGUCAGCAGGGAAGAAAAUGACGGUACCUGAAGAAGAAGCCCCGGGUAACUACGUGCCAGCAGCCGCGGUAAUACGUAGGGGGCAAGCGUUAUCCGGAUUUAGUGGGGGUAAAGGGGGCGCAGACGGCGAUGCAAGCCAGGAGUGAAAGCCCGGGGGCCAAACCCGGGACUGCUCUUGGAACUGCGUGGCUGGAGUGCAGGAGGGGCAGGCGGAAUUCCUGGUGUAGCGGUGAAAUGCGUAGAUAUCAGGAGGAACACCGGUGGCGAAGGCGGCCUGCUGGACUGCAACUGACGUUGAGGCCCGAAAGCGUGGGGAGCAAACAGGAUUAGAUACCCUAGUAGUC
rnacentral:rRNA from 1 species